AUUAACAGGAUUAGAUACCCUGGUAGUCCACGCCCUAAACGAUGUCUACUAGUUGUCGGGUUUUAAUUAACUUGGUAACGCAGCUAACGCGUGAAGUAGACCGCCUGGGGAGUACGGUCGCAAGAUUAAAACUCAAAGGAAUUGACGGGGACCCGCACAAGCGGUGGAUGAUGUGGAUUAAUUCGAUGCAACGCGAAAAACCUUACCUACCCUUGACAUGUACGGAAGGCCGAAGAGAUUUGGCUGUGCUCGAAAGAGAACCGUAACACAGGUGCUGCAUGGCUGUCGUCAGCUCGUGUCGUGAGAUGUUGGGUUAAGUCCCGCAACGAGCGCAACCCUUGUCAUUAGUUGCUACGAAAGGGCACUCUAAUGAGACUGCCGGUGACAAACCGGAGGAAGGUGGGGAUGACGUCAAGUCCUCAUGGCCCUUAUGGGUAGGGCUUCACACGUCAUACAAUGGCACAUACAGAGCGCCGCCAACCCGCGAGGGGGAGCUAAUCGCAGAAAGUGUAUCGUAGUCCGGAUUGUAGUCUGCAACUCGACUGCAUGAAGUUGGAAUCGCUAGUAAUCGCGGAUCAGCAUGUCGCGGUGAAUACGUUCCCGGGUCUUGUACACACCGCCCGUCACACCAUGGGAGCGGGUUUUACCAGAAGUAGGUAGCUUAACCGCAAGGAGGGCGCUUACCACGGUAGGAUUCGUGACUGGGG
rnacentral:rRNA from 1 species